CCUACGGGCGGCAGCAGUGAGGAAUAUUGGUCAAUGGGCGGGAGCCUGAACCAGCCAAGCCGCGUGAGGGAAGAAGGUACAGCGUAUCGUAAACCUCUUUUGUCAGGGAACAAAGGCGUGGACGAGUCCCCGGAUGAGGGUACCUGAAGAAAAAGCAUCGGCUAACUCCGUGCCAGCAGCCGCGGUAAUACGGGGGAUGCGAGCGUUAUCCGGAUUUAUUGGGGUUAAAGGGUGCGCAGGCGGCCUGUUAAGUCAGCGGUAAAAUCCCGGGGCUCAACCCCGGAGAGCCGGUGAAACUGGAGGGCUGGAGUUGGAGAGAAGUAUGAGGAAUGCGCGGUGUAGCGGUGAAAGGCUUAGAUA
rnacentral:rRNA from 1 species